CAAAUUAGAAAUUAGAAGGUAAUCAGAUAACAAAUCUGUAUUACUAAUUUUUUUGGAUAAGAACAUUAUUUAUUUUAUUGACGACGGUGAGUGGAAAAACUGUCGUCCAAAUCCUAGUUGUUCAAACUCCCCCAACUUUCAAUCACAGCCGUAAUAACUCAACAUUUACAGUUUUCCGGCGGUUCCCUUCGCUUCUUGUCGAUGACUCCCCUACCUCCCACGUUUCGCUUCUCUGUAACUCCUCCCAUGAUCUCCCCCUUAUUUCUCUCUUGGCUACACGAUUGUGUGUGAAGGUUUCUUUGAUUGGAGUACAAGAAAGACCAUCAACUCCCUCGUCCUUUUCUUCUCCACGUUCUUCAACCAUCUUCAUUCACCUUGAUUUCCCACGUUUGUCCUUCUUCGAUGCUUAACCUAAACCGCAGAAGCCAUCAUCCAACUACUUCUUCAACCUUCCAGCAUGCCAUUUACAGGUUUUUUUCAGUUAUUGGAGGCGCACAGUCGUCUUCAACCUCGCAGCACACAAUUCCAUGAUUGCUAGAAAUCAGGUGGUUUAGAUUAAUUGUCUUGUCUAUAUAAAGAGUUGAAUUUCACUGUAAUUGUUUUAAUCAUAGUUGUCGAUUGAUAAUUGUUGGAAUAAAUAGUUGCUUCUGUUGAUCCAAUGGCUUCCGAUUUGUCUGACAUACCUUCACUUAAGGUAAAAAAUCAUUUGUUUACUCGAUUUCGAUUGUUUGUAUCUCAUUGCAUUUGUUUGUUUCAAUUGGUAAAACUAAUUGAUUCGUUUGAUUUAAUGUUUUUGCCAAUUCGUAUAUUCUUUCUUCACGUAAGGUUAACUUAUUGUCUCGAUUCCUUUGAUAUUUAGUCUAUUGUAUAAUCAAAUUCGAUAUAUAAUUGAGGCUAAUGUCCAUUAAUGUUUAAAAUUUCGAUUUCAUAUGUAUUAAAAAUUGUGUUAUCGUAUACUUGUUAUGUAGAACGUUGAAGUUGUUGCUUUAAAAAUGAAUCCACCGACAGAUGUAUCAAAAUCGAUAGUUGAUCCUAAUGAUUCCAAUUCGUCUGUCAUACCUUCACCUGAGAACUUUGAAGAUGUUUAUUGAAAAGUCAAUCAACUAUCAGAUGUAUCACAAUCGACAUUUGAUCCUAAUGAUUCCAAUUCGUCUGACAUCUGCUCACCUAAGAAAUUUGGAGAUUUUGAUGGAAAAGUCAAUACACAUUCAGAGGUAUCAAAAUCGACAUGUCACUCUGAUUCUGAUAGUGUUGAAAUAAUCGACUUUAGUGUUCACUUCAGUCCCUACAAAUCCCAGUUGGAGAGGGUGAUUUCAGAAGAGGUAACGAUUUUAUGAGUUUUGUUUUCAGAUAGAUAUGCAUGUAAAUUUGUUUUUCUCUUUCAUGUUUCUUUAAUUGCCAAAGAAGAGGAGAAGCUGGCAAGAAAAGAAAAAAAGGAAGUUGGCUUUGUUAUGUUGGAAGUGGGAAGAAGUUGUAGAUCUAUGUGAAGAUGAAGACUUGGGUGUAGAUCUACCAUUCAUACCACUGAAAAAGAAAGUGAAAGUUUCCAUUCAAUCUCGAAAUCGAGUCACGAAACUUUUUGAUGAAUCAGAUGUUGAUGAGUGAUUUAGAAUUAACUUUGUUAAUUUUUUUUUUGUUUUUUGUAUUGUUCUUUUGGAUUUGCUGCAGUUAGUGGUUAUUUGUUUUUUUGAAUUAAUGUUUAUAAGUUUUUCAAUUGUAGUUAAUUGUUUUUUAUGUUA